rnacentral:rRNA from 1 species
AGCGAACGCUGGCGGCAGGCUUAACACAUGCAAGUCGAGCGGGCACUUCGGUGUCAGCGGCAGACGGGUGAGUAACACGUGGGAACGUACCCUUCGGUUCGGAAUAACGCUGGGAAACUAGCGCUAAUACCGGAUACGCCCUUUUGGGGAAAGGUUUACUGCCGAAGGAUCGGCCCGCGUCUGAUUAGCUAGUUGGUGGGGUAAUGGCCUACCAAGGCGACGAUCAGUAGCUGGUCUGAGAGGAUUAUCAGCCACACUGGGACUGAGACACGGCCCAGACUCCUACGGGAGGCAGCAGUGGGGAAUAUUGGACAAUGGGCGCAAGCCUGAUCCAGCCAUGCCGCGUGAGUGAUGAAGGCCUUAGGGUUGUAAAGCUCUUUUGUCCGGGACGAUAAUGACGGUACCGGAAGAAUAAGCCCCGGCUAACUUCGUG